CGCAGGGCCUCGCCGGUGCGGCGCGGGGCGGUGCCGCUCGCCGGUACCGAAAGCCACGCGCUUUACAGACACACGUGAGGCGAACGCAGGAACUAACUCCUUCAGCCUCCGCCCGCCCGAGAGCGGGCGCUGAGCCGGGGAGGCCACUGGGGCGGAUGGGAAGAAUGCGGUGCGGGGCUCCGGGGCCGUUACCAGCAGUCGUCUCGCGCUACGAAGUUGCAGGACUGGGCCGGGAGAAUCGCCAAAGUGUUCGGAUUGUGAAUUUGCCGUCUCAGCUGUCUUUGCUCUUUCCUGAGGCAUUGUGCUCUGAAUUGGGUCACAUGCAAUUUUGCAGUGGUACAAUAGUCCUUUUGUGUGAGAACCAUUCCUCCUCAUCUUGCUUCCUCUGCAUCUUCAGUCUGAAGACUAAAAAUAGAAGAUGCACUAAAAGUAAGGCAAGAUUCCUUUCUUUAGCUACAUAUUUCAGGAUGGAAUAUUCAUACUACUUUUGCCAGAAUUUGCAAAACUACUGCUUAAAGUUCCCCGGUUCUGAAGAAUUUAAGCGGAAACUUUAGCUUCAAAGCCUGGAUAUGACCCACGGAUUGUGUAUUGUUUUCUGUGGCAGUGGAGAAACUGGUGUUAAAUGCUAAUCCAGCCUCAGUUACUGUACAAAUACUGUUGCUAACUCUGGAGAGCAAACUUAAUUUUCCCGUGGCAGGUAACAGUUUUGAAGUUUUUUAUAAUGUGAGGGGACAGCAUAUGAGAUGAAACUACAAAUAAAUGAAGUAUAAUGCUAAGAUUAGAAGCAUACUAUUAUAUUGCGAUGGCUAUGGCCAUCUAGUCCAAUAUGUACCUCUGGCAGUGACCAGUCCCACAUGAUAGAGUUGCAAGGAAACUCUACAGCAGACAAUCCUGGAAUUAUAUCCUCCAAAGGGGACCAUCUGUCCUAACCUCAGGCAUCCUAGCUUAUACCCUCAAGCAGGAAAUUUUUAUCUCUGAUUUUCCAUCUUUAGAAAGAUUAAAGUACAAGCUUUUCAACUGUACUAGGUCUCACUCAGUUUUUCUAAGCUAUUGAAGAGGUGUGAACACUGUAUGUGAUCUGAAGAGAGUGUCAGUGGGAAAUCAAAAAUCAUAAAAACUACUGAAAACAGCAGUGUGUUUCUGAAGAGUUUGACGACUGCCUUCCUUAUUGCAAAGAGCAGACUGAAGAACAUGUCAGGAAAACUAAGACCAUCAUCUUAUCACUUUGCAACAAGAAAUAUUGCUAAUUUCCCUCUGAAUGUUUAAGAAGCUAUUGCAAAAUAUGUCCAACAUAGACUGCUCCUCUAAAAGUCUGGGUGCUAUCCAGGAUCAGACUCAGCAGCGUCAGCAUGCAGAAAGACGGUCUUAUCUCCAGAAAGUUCGGAAAUGAGGAAUCCUAGAAAUCUCAUGAGGUCGCUGCUGAGCCCAAAGCGCACCCCCAUCUUCCUGGCUCUUUGAAGGUCACCCUGCUCCAGGAUCUAUCUCAUCUUUUGUCCAGUUCAUUUUCAUGAUGGAGCUGUAACUGAAUCCAAAAUCACACUUCUGGGAAUCCAGCACCAAUGUUGUAUGAAGGUUUUAAAGUGUGAGAGACCCAGAAUGAGGGGGAACCGAGUGGCUAUUUAAUGAGUCUGGGAUGCUGAAUUCGGAUGCGCUUUCAGGUUAAAUGCUUGAAGGAAUUGCAGAGUCGGGCUCCAAGAAAAUAAGGGCAUACAUCAAAAAAUCAGCACCUCAGCACACGAACAGGUGGAAAUACCAGGUGCAGAGAGGAAAGCCAGUGCAAUGCCUUCUAUCCCAAUCUUCCUGCACCCAGUGAAGGACACAGGGACUGCAUAGAGAAGAGCAGGAAGGUUAGGAAGAUGUGCAAACUUGCAGCAGCCUGCAUCUGGAACCGGAGCCUUUAUCCACCAAAGCUUUGUAACCCCCCAUCCCCCCCGAAGAAGUUGCUGAUUCACGGGAUGAGGGUGGACGCUCUCCCACGGCUCAGGCACAACCUGGGCCCCAGUUGCCCGGCCUGGGCCUGCGUGGCCACCGGUGCUGUUGGGCUCUGCCGGACGCCUCCUCUGCCCCGGCACCCAUCCCCAGCACCUCCUGCCUGUGCCCCGGCCCCAGCCGGCACUGUGCCCGAUGGCGAGAGGCUGCAGCAGCGAGUGCGGAGACUGUCACCCACCAGUCACGGAAUGGACCAGCCACAGAAGAACAAUGUGUUACUUAAAGCUGCAUCUACUUGCUUGAAGACCAUUUAAGGAUGUUCCGUGUCUUAAAAUACAAGAAUUCCGAAUCGCACAUGAACUGCGGCUGCCCGGGGCUGGCAGCGGUGGCGGGGCGGCUGCUGGCAGGUGCCUCGUGUGACAGGGGGAAGCGCGUAGUGUCACUGCGACUCGUUUGUGGUGGCGCUGCCUGUUCCAAGUGCGAAGGAGUGUCAGUGGUGAGCUGGUGGCUCCCCUCCGCUCACAGCCACCUUUGCUGGCAAUGCCUACUGGGAGAGGGUCUCUGAUACUCACCUCCAAGUGUCUUAAAAAGAAAAAAGUAUAUUUCCAGCUAAAUAAUAAUAAAAGUGUGCUGAUUGAUAAAUCUCUAUCUGAACUAGCAUUUGUCUUCAGAGUUUUGACCGUGCGUAUGCCUUGCUUUAACUUUCGGGCUGACCUUUCUGGGGCUUGUGGGCUCCCACUCACCCCAGCCCAUGUCCUUGUAACAGGUAACGCUGCUCCAUGUUUUCAUUUACAGAAAUUUGACUGUCACAAAAGAAACAGACUUCAGGACCAACAUGAAGGAAUGGGCCAGGAGGCAGGUAAUUGUCCUCUCCCGGGCCUGCGCACCAUCCCCCGCUCCCCCCUGCGUUCGGGGAACGGCACUUGUACAAUAACUCAUGUCUGCUCAGUGCUGGGGAGCCCAAACUUUUCAAAGCUCAUUUCUGUCACAGCUGCGAGAUCCUCUUCCGUGUUUCCUUUGGAUUAGUAAUUGUUGGGAGUCACCAUCUGUCAAGUGGCAAAGAGUAAACGACUAAACAACCCGGCAAUUCCUCCUUCCUUCUCUUUGGGCAUUUUCACAGGACUGCAUGGCUCCACAGGAGUAAAGCGCUGGCACAUAUUUAACAUUAGUUUGUAAGUGGUCAGGUAAAAAUAAAUUCCAUUUUUUGGGGGGGGAAAUAAAGGCUAAACCUUACUCAGUGAGUGCCACCAUGACCGGACCUGACCCUCGACAUGAUCCGUCCUGUGUGAUUUCUGCAGCUUUGUACAAGAUUUGGGUUGGUGGCCAGUGCCACUCUUGGUGCAAUCUUCCCAGCACCAUCUCUCAGGAGCUGGGAACUCUGGAUCCUUCCAAAUCCUGAAUCAGAGCUAUCAGGAACUACGGAAAAAUAGGCUUUCUUAGAAGAUAACCGAAGUUGUCUAUCUCCCAGUAACAGGACUCACCAAGUAUUAUAGCAGCCACUUCACACCACUAUAGUUAAGCUUGU